UUUUAUUUUAUUUUAUUUAUUUAUUUCCUCUUGCAGGGAGCCAAAGGUGAGACGGGGCCUGACGGUGACAAGGGUGCGGCGGGGAGAAAAGGUAUCAAAGGUGUCAAAGGACAAAAGGGCGGCGUGGGCGACCGCGGAGACAAAGGACAGGUGCUCACUCUGUUUAUCACCAAGACUUCACAGAAAUACACUCACAUCAUAUACUUAUACAUAUUCACCCUUCAAAACUUCAUUAAAUUGGCAUGCUCUCCUUCAAAAACACUG